rnacentral:rRNA from 1 species
CCUACGGGAGGCAGCAGUAGGGAAUAUUGCUCAAUGGGGGAAACCCUGAAGCAGCAACGCCGCGUGGAGGAUGAAGGUUUUCGGAGUGUAAACUCCUUUUGGUAGAGAAGAGAAUGACGGUAUCUAACGAAUAAGCACCGGCCAACUCCGUUACAGCAGCCGCGGUAAUACGGAGGGCGCAAGCGUGAUUCGGAAUCACUGGGCGUAAAGGGGACGUAGGCGGGAUAGCAAGUCAGAUGUGAAAGCCUCUGGCUUAACCCUAGAACUGCAUUUGAAACUGUUAUUCUAGAGUAUGGGAGAGGUAGGUGGAAUUCUUGGUGUAGGGGUGAAAUCCGUUGAGAUCAAGAAGAAUACUCAUUGCGAAGGCGACCUGCUAGAACAUAACUGACGCUGAUGCGCGAAAGCGUGGGGAGCAAACAGGAUUAGAUACCCUAGUAGUC